rfam:Loxodonta africana unplaced genomic scaffold scaffold_29, whole genome shotgun sequence.
GUGGCACAGUGGUUAAAGCGCUUGGCUGCUAACCAAAAGGUCGUUGGUUCAAACCUACC